UACGGAGGGUGCAAGCGUUAUCCGGAUUCACUGGGUUUAAAGGGUGCGUAGGCGGGCAUGUAAGUCAGUGGUGAAAUCUCAGAGCUUAACUCUGAAACUGCCAUUGAUACUAUGUGUCUUGAAUUUCCUGGAGGUUAGCGGAAUAUGUCAUGUAGCGGUGAAAUGCUUAGAUAUGACAUAGAAUACCGAUUGCGAAGGCAGCUGACUACGGGUAGAUUGACGCUGAGGCACGAAAGCGUGGGGAUCAAACAGG
rnacentral:rRNA from 1 species